ensembl:lncRNA
CAAGCACUACGUCUACUAAAAAAAUCCUUUCAGUGGUCAUAUCCUGUGAAAGCAGACUAACAGUAAGACUCUCUGAAAAAUUACAUUGUUCAUCCCAGAUAUGGCAGCUGGACAUAUGUUUUUGGUCUUCCUCAUUUUCUAUACCUUCCAAUAUGUCAAAGCCCAAGAUCGUCCUAAGCCCAGUCUGACUCUGAAUCAUGCAGUCAUCAGAGAGAGAGACUCAGUUCAGCUGAUCUGUGAGACUCCAUCUGUAUCUGAGUCUCAGUGUCACUUCAUCAUAGAGGGGAAACAGAUCUCACAUCCUUCACCAUGUCAGAGCACACUAACAGGAUAUCAGCUGCUUCACUGGGCAGGUCAAAGUUCACCUGUUGAGGUCAAAAUUCUAUGUUUCUACAUGGUAGAGACAAACUAUUCAUCAACACACAGUGACCCUGUCUCAUUGAGGAUUCUGGAUCAACGAAACCUCCCUCAGCCCAAUCUGAUAGUGAUUCCCACAGUUAUCAGAGAGGGAGACUCAGUUCAGCUGAGCUGUGUGACUCCUCAAUCUCUCUCUGAAUGUCAGUGUGGUUUCUAUGAAGACACGAAACUUCAUCUACCAGAACGAUCCUGUGAACAGACGGUCACAGGAACUCAGCUGCUUUCUUGGGCAGGCCAAAAAUCGUCAGCUGUGCUCCAGGUGCAGUGUUUCUACGUUGUAGAAAGAUAUUACCCAUCUCCUUCCAGUAAACCAGUCAUUGUCACAGUCCAGGGUUCAACCACUUCUUUGACCUCCAUGGCAACAUCAUCAGGUUUGACCACUCCUUUGACUCCCAGCAAGGCAGUGAAUCCUACAUCAGGUUCAACCACUUCUUUGACCCCGACAGCAAUGACAUCAGGUUUGACCACUCCUUUGACUCCCAGCAAGGCAGUGAAUCCUACAUCAGUGAAACCAUCAUGGCUUGCAGCAAUAGUUGUGGGUAUUUCACUGGCCAUGUUCCUGGUGGUGGGAUUAACAGCUGUCUGUCUGUAUAAGAAGACACAUAGAAGCAAAUCUCAGAGACCUCAAGCCAAACAGGACAAACAUAACCAACAAUUAGUGAUGACAACCGAAAGCAGUGGAACUAUGGUGCAUUCAGGGGAUAAGGGACCUUAUACUCUCAUCCCCACGGUGCUGACCACGUUCAUGCCCUCAGGUCCUGUUGGAGAAAAUGAAGAAUCCUCUGAAUAUUACAAUUUUGACACAGACCAAGUGUACUGUUCAAUCCCUGACAGAACAGCAGCCUCAGCCCAGACAUACUACAACAUUGGCUUUCUGUAGAUAGUCUUCUGUACAGUUGCAUGUUUUAUUUUUGCUCUCUAUUCAAUCUCUUUGGAUUUGAAAUAUAACAAUGACAAUGUUAUAAAAAUAUAGAUUGUCCACUUAUAUGCAAGAGUAUUCUCGUAUUAACUGAACAAUUUAAAAAUGACAGAAUGGUUUGUACAUAUUUCCUCUGUUAGUGUGCCAUGAGUAUUUCAACAGUUAUCUUCAAAACUGUUUCUUAUUAGAUUGUUUCUGAUUACUUGCUUUGAAUUUGGAUUAUUUUGCGGCUGUCUGACAUCAUGAGGACCAAAGAAAUGUCAGUGCAAUUCAUGUUUGAAAUUAUGAGGUGGAUAAACAUUGACAAGAGACAGCCAAAACAUUAGGUGUGACAACAUUCAACAGUUUUGAACAAAAGAACAAAUAAAGCAUUGGUGAGUUUAGCAUUAUCAAACAACUUAGUAGACCCAAGAAGACAAUUAGUGGAUGACCAAAGAAUACUUUUAAGAUGAUGGAAAAACAUCCAACAACAGUCCAACAGACCUGGAACAUUUUCCAUGAGGUUGAGACUCAAAACAGUCAGUAAUGUAAGUUCUCAUUUUGAACUUAUUCAGCAACUCAAUCUCCUACAAUUUAAGUCCAAGAAUUAAUUAAAUGCUGGGAGACCAUUUUUUGUUUUAGAGUUCUGUUCUAAAACAACUACAGUAUAUACAGUUCAGAUUUGUUUUUUGCUUUGUAUGAAAUGCUCUCUGCUGUAAGAAAGCAAUAAUACUUUUUCAUUACAAAUAUUGAGGUUUGUUAGUACUUACUUAUCUCAUUCUUUCAUAGUCCAUAGAACUGCCUUGUCAUCAACAAAACAUCUUGAGUCCGUUUUCCCAGAAAGAGAUUAAGCAUUGAACUGCAACUCCUUUUCUUGAGAAAUUUCCCUUGACAUUUUAUAGUCAAGAAAUUCUUAACUAGUGCAAACAACAUGGUUCAUCGGAACAAGUCCUUACAGGCAUCACUCUACACUAGACACUUCCCAUUAGUAUGAUGUUAAUUACUCGUCUCCAUUGUUCUUCCUUUCAUUUUUUGCUCUAAUCAGCUUACUUAAAUUUUUCUGGUAUUUAACAUCAAUCACAACAUAUAAAGGAAAGUCUUUAACUUUUUAGAUCACAAUACUUAACCACAAGUAUAUUUUUGUUUUUGUUAACAAAUGCAAUUAAAUCAGACAUUGAUUUUUAAUAUUGAACUAAAGCUAAGAGCAGUACAUUAAUACAAAGCGGACGCAAAGAAAAAUAUCUAGACACAUGACACAGAUGUGUCAUCCUUUUUAUAUUCUGUUGUGGACAUUAUGAAACCUGAUGCAUUCUUACUGUUUAAAGGACUGAGUCCCAUUGUUUGGAUGUGAGAAUGAAUGAGUUACUAGUUAAAGAUGCCGAGAGGGACAUCUGUGCUAGGGGGACAUCCUUGACCAGCAUCCUUGAUCGGCACCAGUGGAUUAGAUGGUUACUCAUAAAUCAGUAAAUCUGUAUAACCCUUUAGUGUCUCUGUUGAUUAUACAGACAUUGCCUCACCUUAGGAGUUAAGGAUAAGGUGGGGGGACAGCCCGCCCUUUGGGUAAAUGUUACACAUGACAGAUGGGCAAUAAUUUACCACACCCCUUUUUGUAUGUGUUAUAUACUGUUGAAUGAGCUAUAUUGAGUUAGAGACUCCUCGGACGAUUAUGUUGGGAAGCGGUUGACGCGUCUCUCUUAUUUGCAAAUAAUAAAUAAACUGUUAAAUGGUGCGUCUCUGUACUUCCUUAUUAAAGAGUUCUGAUCGAU